rnacentral:rRNA from 1 species
GAUGAACGCUGGCGGCGUGCUUAACACAUGCAAGUCGAACGGAAAGGCUCCUGCUUGCAGGGGUACUCGAGUGGCGAACGGGUGAGUAACACGUGGGUGAUCUGCCCUGCACUUCGGGAUAAGCCUGGGAAACUGGGUCUAAUACCGGAUAGGACCACAUUUUGGAUGGUGUGGUGGAAAGUUUUUCGGUGUGGGAUGAGCUCGCGGCCUAUCAGCUUGUUGGUGGGGUAAUGGCCUACCAAGGCGUCGACGGGUAGCCGGCCUGAGAGGGUGUACGGCCACAUUGGGACUGAGAUACGGCCCAGACUCCUACGGGAGGCAGCAGUGGGGAAUAUUGCACAAUGGGCGCAAGCCUGAUGCAGCGACGCCGCGUGGGGGAUGACGGCCUUCGGGUUGUAAACUCCUUUCGCUAGGGACGAAGCGAAAGUGACGGUACCUGGAGAAGAAGCACCGGCUAACUACGUG